rnacentral:lncRNA from 1 species
GAGAGAAGAGUUCAGAGGAGAUACAUUAUCAUCCCAGAAUUUUAAUUCAACAGGGGUAACUGAUGUAAUAGGUGGAGGAGGACAAGGACCCUACUUAAAAACAGGUAAUAUCUUGAGAAGGAUUCCUGGGUGGAAUGGAACUCAAUUGUAAUGACAAGA